ACAGCACUAGACAGAUCAUCAAGACACAAAGUCAACAAAUAAAUACUGGAUUUGAAUUGUGCCCUAGAACAAAUGUACCUAACAGAUAUUUACAGAACAUUCUACCCAAGAAUUGCAGAAUAUACAUUCUUCUCAUGAACACAUGAAACAUUCUCCGCCAGCUGAAAUGGAAUCUGAAAACCGCAGCCUAUAGGAGUCAGUCUGCACAAUUUAAAGCCAAGCGGUGGGAGUGGAAGAAUAGACCUAAGGGCAAAAAGAUUGACUUCUGAGCAGUCUCCCCUGAAAAAUAAGAUAUUACAACAUGAGCCUUGCAAUCUUGCGCACAU
rnacentral:lncRNA from 1 species